GACGAACGCUGGCGGCGUGGAUUAGGCAUGCAAGUCGAACGGUAUCAUCCUUUCGGGGGUGAGAGAGUGGCGAACUGGUGAGUAACACGUAGGUUAUCUACCCUCAAGACGGGGACAACCCAGGGAAACUUGGGCUAAUACCGGAUGUGAGCAACUUUUAGUUGUUUGAAAGGUGGCGUAAGCUGUCGCUUGGGGAUGAGCCUGCGUCCUAUUAGUUAGUUGGUGAGGUAACGGCUCACCUAGGCAAUGAUAGGUAGGCGGCCUUAACGGGUGGUCGCCCACACUGGGAUUGAGAUACGGCCCAGACUCCUACGGGAGGCAGCAGUCGAGAAUAGUCUACAAUGGUCGGAAGACUGAUAGUGCGACGCCGCGUGAACGAUGAAUCCCUUCGGGGUGUAAAGUUCUUUUAUAUGUGAGCAGUGCUUCUUAUUAUUAACUAGUAUGGGGAGAGAGAUAUUAGCAUAUGAAUAAGCAACGGCUAACUCCGUGCCAGCAGCCGCGGUAAACUCGU
rnacentral:rRNA from 1 species